UCGGGAAUUUUGGGCAAUGGGGGAAACCCUGACCCAGCAACGCCGCGUGAAGGAUGAAGUAUUUCGGUAUGUAAACUUCGAAAGAAUAGGAAGAAUAAAUGACGGUACUAUUUAUAAGGUCCGGCUAACUACGUGCCAGCAGCCGCGGUAAUACGUAGGGACCAAGCGUUGUUCGGAUUUACUGGGCGUAAAGGGCGCGUAGGCGGCAUGACAAGUCACUUGUGAAAUCUCUGGGCUUAACCCAGAACGGCCAAGUGAUACCGUCGCGCUAGAGUGCAGAAGGGGCAAUCGGAAUUCUUGGUGUAGCGGUGAAAUGCGUAGAUAUCAAGAGGAACACCUGAGGUGAAGACGGGUUGCUGGGCUGACACUGACGCUGAGGCGCGAAAGCCAGGGGAGCAAACGGGAUUAGAUACCCAAGUAGUCCCUGAGCGGGCUGGCA
rnacentral:rRNA from 1 species